CCUACGGGAGGCUGCAGUGGGGAAUAUUGGGCAAUGGGCGCAAGCCUGACCCAGCAACGCCGCGUGAAGGAAGAAGGCUUUCGGGUUGUAAACCUCUUUUAAGGGGGAAGAGCAGAAGACGGUACCCCUUGAAUAAGCCACGGCUAACUACGUGCCAGCAGCCGCGGUAAUACGUAGGUGGCAAGCGUUGUCCGGAUUUACUGGGUGUAAAGGGCGUGCAGCCGGAGAGACAAGUCAGUUGUGAAAUCCACGGGCUCAACCCGUGAACUGCAUUUGAAACUGUUUCCCUUGAGUGUCGGAGAGGUAAUCGGAAUUCCUUGUGUAGCGGUGAAAUGCGUAGAUAUAAGGAAGAACACCAGUGGCGAAGGCGGAUUACUGGACGAUAACUGACGGUGAGGCGCGAAAGCGUGGGGAGCAAACAGGAUUAGAUACCCCUGUAGUC
rnacentral:rRNA from 1 species